GACGAACGCUGGCGGCGUGCCUAAUACAUGCAAGUCGAGCGGACCUCUUCGGAGGUCAGCGGCGGACGGGUGAGUAACACGUGGGCAACCUGCCUGUAAGACUGGGAUAACACCGGGAAACCGGUGCUAAUACCGGAUAAUCCUUUUCCUCACAUGAGGGGAAGCUGAAAGACGGCAUCUCGCUGUCACUUACAGAUGGGCCCGCGGCGCAUUAGCUAGUUGGUGGGGUAACGGCCCACCAAGGCGACGAUGCGUAGCCGACCUGAGAGGGUGAUCGGCCACACUGGGACUGAGACACGGCCCAGACUCCUACGGGGGGCAGCAGUAGGGAAUCUUCCGCAAUGGACGAAAGUCUGACGGAGCAACGCCGCGUGAGCGAAGAAGGCCUUCGGGUCGUAAAGCUCUGUUGUCAGGGAAGAACACGUACCGGAGUAACUGCCGGUACCUUGACGGUACCUGACCAGAAAGCCACGGCUAACUACGUGCCAGCCGCCGCCGUAACAC
rnacentral:rRNA from 1 species